rnacentral:snoRNA from 1 species
GGAUCGAUGAUGACACCCACAAACGCAUUCCUUGGAAAUCUGAACAAAAUGAGUGAGAACUCACUACCGUCUCCUCAUCGCAAACUGAGGUCC